UACGUAGGGGGGCGAGCGUUGUCCGGAGUUACUGGGCGUAAAGCGCACGCAGGCGGUCUGUUAAGUUUGGAGUGACAGUUGGUGGCUUAACUGCCAAAGUGCUUCGAAAAACUGACAGACUUGAGGGCUUCAGAGGGACACGGAAUUCCGGGUGGAGUGGUGAAAUGCGUAGAGAUCCGGAGGAACACCAAAGGCGAAGGCAGUGUCCUGGGGAGUACCUGACGCUCAGGUGCGAAAGCCAGGGGAGCGAACGGGG
rnacentral:rRNA from 1 species